GUACAUAAACCAUCUAGUUUUCAGGUUUGGGUGAACAAGCCAGUAAUACUCUGGUACAUACAAACUAGCCUAAAAAACAUGAUCUGACUCCUAUUUAGCUUCAGACCCAAAAAAAACACUCCUAUUUAGCUAUAAAAUUGUUACACACUUUUUUGGCACUUCAUCGGUGCGCCUUCACCGCUUUACCGCUUCACUCUUUUGAGCUUUGGGUUUUGGUUGCUCGCUCGACACAGAAAGAGAGAGAAUCGAACUGGGGGAUGAAAGGGGGGAGAGAAAUCAGAGAAGCGAACGAAAGGAUUUGAUUGAUUAAGUAGUUUGAUUGUGGUGGUUCUUUGAAAUGAUUUAGUCUCAGAUUGACAAAGCUUUUCCGAACCACCCUACGUUGGUCUUGAGAUAUUUGGUAUGGCAGAGAAGGAGAUGGAGCACAUGUUUGAGUUCAUUUUGCACAAGAGUAGCACUGGAUCCAAUUUCUUUUCAAUAGCAGCUACAAUAGUUUGAGCGAUUAGUUCCUACCUUCAAAUUACUUUUCAGUAGCAGCUGCAAUAGUUUGAGCCAUUAGUUCCAAAUUUCCAAAUUCUUUCCAAUCUCACCUCCAAUAGUUUGUGGUUGGAAAGUUGUUAUGAAGUUUGAUUUGUAUAAGUGGUGUUUACUUGCAGGUGCCCCCAAGAGGAAAGACACUGCAAUUAGAGACCAAGGUUUACUGCUAUGAACUCGCGACCAUGAAAUAGUUGGGAUUACUCUGCACCAACAAUUGAUGAGGUAAGUUUGUUUUGAACAUUUGGACUUGGGGUUGUGGAUUGUCUCAUUAACUCGAUUCAGUCCACCUUCAGUAACCUGCAUGUGAUGGAUGGGUUCAUUUGAUGGUGUUAAGGUGAUGAAACAGAUAUAGAGUUGAAUGAUUGAACAGAUGGAACUCAGAAUAUCCCCAUUGUUGGGAAAUACAUUGUGUAAAUCUUCAUUUCAGGUCAAGGAACGGAGUAGGCAUGAGCAAGGAAGGCACAAAGAGCAUGGGCAAAGAGUAGCUUGAAGCAAAGAUUCCAGUUGCUUCAAGCGCGCAUUUGUAUUAAAUAGUUGAAAUUUGUUACUCCUAAAUUAAUAUAGAUGUGUCAUGCUAGAACUUUUUGUUUUGCAGAAUGCAGUUUUCUUCUAAAAGCUUAAACAGAUACGCUACAGAUUAAACAUAUAGCAAGUUUGAUGGGACUUGGUUACGUCUUUUCUGUAAUCUUUCAGCUUUGUAAUCAUGUUCUCAGAUUUUUAAUUUACUUACACUUAUGCACAGACUUUGUCUAUUCACCACAACUUUAGCCGCAUUACUGAAAGUAAAUCCCUUAUUAUUUCAGUAAGUUGUUGAAGGGAAGUAGUGGAAAUGUCCACAUUAUAUUCAUAAGCAUAUUGUCAAUUGAUGCAAACAUUGGAACCAAAAGGUAAAUGUGCGACAUAUUUUUGACAAUUUUCAAUUCCGCGUGAAUACAUUUAACCUAUCUAUUCUGUUUUUGAAUGA